rnacentral:tRNA from 1 species
AGGGAUGUGGCACUAGAUAGUAGAGCACUUGCCUAGCAUGCAUGAGACCCUGGGUUCAAUCCCCAGCACUUCAA